GCUCUAAUUAGCAGUGGUUUCAUCCUGCCUCAUGUCUGGGGCCAUGUCUUCCUAGUUUUUUGUACCUUUUGGCACCUAGCAACAGGCAGCGAGCUAGGUAGAGGCAGAAUAAUUAUUCCCUGCUUGAAAUCAAAUGUCUGAAAUGGAGGUUCAGAGAAUUUUCUUUUUACCAAGAAGAGGUUAUGGGAGCUCUGGGGGAGUGAGAUUUCCAGCGAAACGAGCUGUCAGGGUAGGUAGGGAUGGAAGGGUUGGGGCUGGAAAUGUCACCAGGCUAGCCUCCUGGCGGGGCGCCGGGAGGUGUGCUCAGAGGAAGUGACCAGGAGGAAGUGCUAGGACUUCUCAGCCCAACAGGAGCCCAGCUCUUCACAGGUGACAGUGCUGCCCACGGGCCUGGCAUCACCCCUGCCUGUUCACCGCUGCCAUCCUUUGCAACAACCCCCAGUGCCCAGUCCAGCGGGUACUUUUCUCUCCUUAACUCACUCAGCCUCGGGGCAGCAUCUGACAUAGCUAAGCACCCUCUCCUGAAAGUGCCUCUCCUUGGCCUCUGUGAUGCCACAUGACACCAUUGUGCCACCAUGAUCUCCCAGUUAACAUCCACCACGCUCCUCAGCCUCCUCCACCCGCCAUCUAGGUGUUGGGCUCCCUCAAGACUCAUGUCUGGGCUCUUUCCAUCGUCCUCUGUCUUCUCACCCUGGUGAUCACUAAUGACUCCAAUUCUAUGCCCCAGCCCUGCCCUCUCAAGGCUGGCAUGCUAACUACCCAGCUGUCAAGCUGCUUGGAUGCUUCUCACAGAGAAUUUGUACGUGACCUUUGUGACUUAGCCACGUCUCACUUUAGCCAGAUGUCACCGUGCCCGUGGCCAGGUCUCUGUCUCAUUCAUUUUGGAAUCAUCCCCAGCCUGGAGCAGCUGACCAGGGACGGCUGAAUAAAAUAUUUUCUGACUUGAAAUAAAAUGUUUGAAAUGGAAAGUCAAGACUUUUUAGCCAAAAGGCGUUUGUGAUCAAGGAGACAAUUGGACAAAUACAUUUUCUUGGUGCCAGUUUUGCACAGCGGGGUAAGGAGG
rnacentral:lncRNA from 1 species